rnacentral:rRNA from 1 species
CCUACGGGUGGCAGCAGUGAGGAAUAUUGGUCAAUGGACGAGAGUCUGAACCAGCCAAGUAGCGUGCAGGAUGACUGCCCUAUGGGUUGUAAACUUCUUUUAUACAGGAAUAAAACGGAACACGUGUGUCUUUUUGCAUGUACUUUAUGAAUAAGGAUCGGCUAACUCCGUGCCAGCAGCCGCGGUAAUACGGAGGAUCCGAGCGUUAUCCGGAUUUAUUGGGUUUAAAGGGAGCGUAGAUGGGUUGUUAAGUCAGUUGUGAAAGUUUGCGGCUCAACCGUAAAAUUGCAAUUGAUACUGGCAGUCUUGAGUACAGUUGCGUUAGGCGGAAUGCGUGGUGUAGCGGUGAAAUGCUUAGAGAUCACGAAGAACACCGAUUGCGAAGGCAGCUUACUAAACUGUGACUGACAUUGAUGCUCGAAAGUGUGGGUAUCAAACAGGAUUAGAUACCCCAGUAGUC